rnacentral:rRNA from 1 species
GAAGGGAUGAACACAUUUCGGGGCGGUAACUCCUUUAUAUGAGGAAGAUAAUGACGGUAUCAUAUGAAUAAGCACCGGCUACUCCGUGCCAGCAGCCGCGGUAAUACGGAGGGUGCAAGCGUUACUCGGAAUCACUGGGCCGUAAAGCGCGCGCAGGCGGCUAUUUAAGUUGGAUGUGAAAGCCUACGGCUCAACCGUAGAACUGCAUCCAAAACUAUUUAGCUAGAGUGUGGGAGAGGAAGAUGGAAUUUAGUUGUGUAGGGGUAAAAUCCGUAGAGAUAACUAGGAAUACCAAAAGCGAAGGCAAUCUUCUGGAACAUUACUGACGCUGAGGCGCGAAAGCGUGGGGAGCAAACAGGAUUAGAUACCCUGGUAGUCCACGCCCUAAACGAUGAAUGUUAGUCGUCGGGUAGCUAGUCUAUUCGGUGAUGCAGCUAACGCAUUAAACAUUCCGCCUGGGGAGUACGGUCGCAAGAUUAAAACUCAAAGGAAUAGACGGGGACCCGCACAAGUGGUGGAGCAUGUGGUUUAAUUCGAAGAUACGCGAAGAACCUUACCUAGCCUUGACAUAUAUUAGAACACCCUAGAGAUAGAGUGGUGCCUUCGGGAGCUUUUAUACAGGUGCUGCACGGCUGUCGUCAGCUCGUGUCGUGAGAUGUUGGGUUAAGUCCCGCAACGAGCGCAACCCUCGUCGUUAGUUGCUAACAGUUCUGCUGAGCACUCUAGCGAGACUGCCUUCGCAAGGAGGAGGAAGGUGAGGACGACGUCAAGUCAUCAUGGCCCUUAUGGCUAGGGCUACACACGUGCUACAAUGGGGCGUACAGAGAGUUGCGAUACCGCGAGGUGGAGCUAAUCUCAUAAAGCGUCUCUCAGUUCGGAUUGGACUCUGCAACUCGAGUCCAUGAAGCUGGAAUCACUAGUAAUCGUAGAUCAGCAAUGCUACGGUGAAUACGUUCCCGGGUCUUGUACUCACCGCCCGUCACACCAUGGGAGUUGAUUUCACCCGAAAUCGGGAAGCAAACCUUCGGGAUGCUACCGCUUACGGUGGAAUUAGCGACUGGGGUGAAGUCGUAACAAG